GCGCACCAGGCGCGAAACCUCCGCAAUACACGAAAGUGUGACGGGGCCAUCCCGAGUGCCGUCCGCUGAGGACGGCUUUUCCCCAGUGUACACAGCUGGGGGAAUAAGGAGAGGGCAAGCCUGGUGUCAGCCGCCGCGGUAAUACCAGCUCUCCGAGUGGUGGGGACGCUUAUUGGGCCUAAAGCAUCCGUAGCCGGCUGGGCAAGUCCUCCGUUAAAUCCAACGAUUCAAUCGUUGGGCUGCGGGGGAUACUGUCCAGCUUGGGGGCGGGAGAGGCCGACGGUAUUCCCGGGGUAGGGGUGAAAUCCUAUAAUCCCGGGAGGACCACCAGUGGCGAAGGCUGUCGGCUAGAACGCGCCCGACGGUGAGGGAUGAAAGCUGGGGGAGCGAACCGGAUUAGAUACCCCUGUAGU
rnacentral:rRNA from 1 species